GGUUGUAUCACGUAUAGAGGUAACAUCAUAUGCUCAUGGAUCAUCCGACUUGCUUGGAAUUCAGAUUGACGCUGCAAUAAAUCCAGGGAAUAGUGGUGGCCCUGCAUUCAAUGACCAGGGGGAAUGUAUUGGAGUAGCAUUUCAGGUUUACAGAUCUGAAGAAACU